CGGCCUGGGGGGCACGGCCUGAGGGAAGGACAGAGAGUGGCCGAAGCCCCCCACAGUCCCCCGCCCCACCUCGUGGGCCUCUGCACACAUCCCCUUGGGCAGACACAGGGCCGGGGCCAGGACAGCCCCAGGAACGGGUGCCCCCACCUCAGGGCAGCCCCCAACACUCACCUCUCUGGUCCACCAGCCAGAGAGUGGGACCCUCCACCUCACAGACCCCAGGGUCACGGUGUCCAUUAGAGCACCUUGGUUGGGUACCAGAGGUGGGGAGGGCAGGGCCGAGGCCACCCGGGCAGUCGCCAGCCCAGGAGGCGGGACAGUUGUGUGACUAGCGUCCCUGUGACAGGGACGGUUGGGGCUGGGCUGGCGGACGAGCUGGAGGCCACAGAAGACACCUUGGACAUGGGGUGGCCCCUGGGAGGCCCCUGAACCCCAUCCUGAUUUGCGGGGCAGUGACCCUGGCCCAGCCUGGGGCCUCAGGCUCCUCCCUGGAGAUGGUGUGGCCGCCCUGGGCCUUCCCACACAGGGCUGGUGCAGUGGUCACCCUGGAAUGGCUGUGACCCACACCGCAUCGCCUCCCCCAGGACCCAUGCCAGGCAGCAUGAAUAGGGCGGGCCCGGUGAGAAGCCCCUCCUGCUGGGUCCAGCCUCGCCCACCUCAGUGGCCUGAGGCCCCUUCCUCAGAGUGGCCAGUGGGGAGGUGGGCGCCCAUCACUUCUGUGCAGCCUCGCCCCUCCAGCCACCGCCAAGCACACCCAAAGCAGCCUAGAUGAGCCAAGGUCACCGGGAUUCCAUGGGGGAAGGGAGAGCAGAGACUCAGACCAUCUGGCUUCCUCCGACCCCCGGCCACACCCCCUCGCUCGCUCCCGCCUGGAAUGACAGCUCGAGGAGCCCUCCCGGCCUCAGAGCAGGUGCCCUUGCCGGCUCAACAGGUGGCCUGGUCCUGCGCUUUCUCCCGGGGCCAACGGAACAUUUUAAUGACGGGGAUUUGAGGCACCUCAGGCAGCCCUGAGGCUUCCCCCGGGGGUGAGUAGGGGCCGGUCACGGCAGAGCAAGAGGACUGGGUGCACAGGGUGGCAGUGCCCUGGGCGGGAGGGCUAGGGGGAAGAUGAGGGACACCAACAGCCCAGCACAUGGACAAGAGGCUGAGAGGGCAGGCUCUGGGAGGAGGCUCCGGAGGACUUCUUGGAGGAAGAGUCGGCCAGGCUGAGCCUCCAUGAACACGGCCCCCCGAGGCUGUGGGAGGGGGUGAGGGACUGUAGAGGCGGCGUCUCCCUGGCGGCCCCAGACAGCUGAAACUCACCUUCCCUUGGGAAGUGUGGGGCCCCACAGAGACAGGGACACAGGGGCAUGGACGAGGAGGUGAGGAUGUGAGUGUGGUCAGGCGGGCAGGCAGUGAGGCUGCAGCUCGAAGUCCUGGCCUGCUGUCGAGGUGGGCACCGAGCCCAGUUCUCUGCGCUUGGCAAACUGGGCGGAGGGCGGGGCGGCCGACAGAGGCUGACGGCUCACUCCUGCUCAGCUCUCAUCCUGUCCUCCCAGGCAGUGGGCAGAGCUGGGGACCCACGACCACGGACGCUUUUCCGUCUACCCUUGGCCUAGGGAGGCAAGGCUCUGACACUGCACGUGUGACUCAGUUUACCUGCCUGAAGGCCGGGGGCUGGGGGGCGGUGCAGGCAGCUGUGUGCCUCUCCAGGACUCAGGGCCCUUUGCUGGCCUUCAACAGCAGUUGGCAUCCUGGCCCAGCACCCAAGACGCCCCCACCCACCGUGGUCUGGAGCUGCUAAGUGGAGUCUCUGAGGUCCAUGGUAUGGGCGGGGUCCAGACCCCAGCCUCUGAGGCUGCAUGCAGGGCCCAGAGCUGUCACAGACUGUGCCCUGAGCUGCCCGCUGCAGAAUGGAGACCAGGACAGUUCCUCCCUCCUGGGUGUUUGCGGGUGAAGCAGGAAGGUGUGCAGUUUCCUCCAGGGAAAGUCCUGGGCGUGCUUGGUGGAGGGAGAGGAGGCUGGGCACGCAGGGCCAGGUAGGGUGACGGUCCCACAGGCUCCCCAUCCGAGGUCCCCCCGGGGCUAUGCUGGCUCCCUACCUGGGGAAGUCCCAGGCCGCGGGGACAAGCCCGACGCCGUCCCAUUCACCUUCACCACCCACCCGGAACCGGCCUUCCAGAUACGGCCGAGUUAAACCACGUUCAGAGGGAGCCAUAAAACUCCAGGGUGAGAUGAGAUCACACGCUGAUCCUGACUGCAGAUCCCGACUGCAGCGGGAAGAUAAAUGUCUGAGUGUUGAAGGGAUUGGAGGAAUCGUUGGAAGCAAGAUGGAUGGUCUCAUAGAUAUGAAAGUGACUUCACGAAGAAACUUCUGCCUGGUGGAACGGAGUGGGACAGAGAGGAAAGGGCAGGGGAACAGGGGCAGGGGGCUGAGGCCCAGGCAGGUUCUGCUGCAGCCCACGCCCACCCGCCAGCACGCAGGGAAGCUUGACUUUCCUACCUCAGCUGUGCCAGCUGCCUGCAGUGCCUGGGCCUUCCAUCCAUAAGUCAGUGACAGUGAGGGCAUGGCCUGGGAGUGAAGGUAGACACAGAACAGUGCCCGACAGGCGGCAGGUGCCUGAGAAGCAUUUGUUAUCAUCGUCACUAUCAUCACUGUUUUUUUGUUUUUUGGUUUUGUUUUUUUCUGAGAUGGAGUCUUGUGCUGUCGCCCAGGCUGGAGUGUAGUGGUGUGAUCUCAGCUCACUUCAAUCUCCGCUUCCUGGGUUCAAACAAUUCUCCUGCCUCGGCCUCCUGAGAAGCUGGGACUAUAGGCGCCCACCAUCACGCCUGGCUAAUUUUUGUAUUUUUAGUAGAGACAGGGUUUCACCAUGUUGGCCAGGCUAGUCUCGAUCUCCGGAUCUCAUGAUCCACCCGUUCAGCCUCCCAGAAUGCUGGGAUUCCAGGCGUGAGCCCCCGCUCGCGGCCACCGCUAUGGUUUUAUUCUGGUGUAAAUCACGUAACAGAAACCUCACCGUUUUAACUGCCGUAAAGCGUGCAGUGUGGUGGCGUCUGGCACAUUCGUAGCACUGUGCAACCAUCGCUGCCAUCUGGUUCCAGAAUCUUUCGUUGCCAUCCCCAAAAGGAAGCCCUCAGCCCAUGCGUGGUUACUCCCAUCUCCCCAGAUGCUGGGAACCGCAACUCACUGCUCUGAGCACAGUGUGGAAGAGGAGUCUCAAGCAUGUGGUCCUCUGUGUCCCGCUCCGCCCUGAUGUGGUGACUUGAGGCCGGUCCCCUCUCCUGGCUGAGUUGUGUUUGCACUGUGGAGACUGUGAGCUGCACUCUGGUAAUCAUGUCUGUGCACGUUUUUGUCUGAAGACCCGUUUUCAACCCAUUUGGGUAUAUCAUUAUUAUUUUUUUGAGACAGGGUCUCACUCUGUGGCCCAGGCUGGAGCACACUGGUGCAAUGGCGGCUCACUGCAGCCUCAAACUCAUAGUCUCAGGCGAGUCUCCCAUCUCAGCCUCCCAAGUAGCUGGAACUACAGGCACCUGCCACCGCACUCAGCUAAUUUUUAUAUAUUUUGCAGAGACAGGGUUGCCCAGGGUGGUCUCAGACUUCUGAGCUCAAGAGAUCCACCCACCUUGGCCUCCUGAAGUUCUGGGAUUACAGUCGUGAGCCACUACACUGGGCCAAUUAUUUUUAAAAUCCUGCUAAAACCCACCUGAAAAGCCUUAAAGACCGUGACUUUCAAAACAUGGGAAUGGACCCCUGGCAACGUGAGAGGGCAAGCUCCGCCUUCCUGGUGUCUUUUUUUUUUUUUUUGAGACGGAGUCUUGCUCUGUCACCCAGGCUGGAGUGCAGUGACAUGAUCUCGGCUCACUUCAGCCUCCACCUCCCAGGUUCAAGCAAUUCUCUGUUUCAGUCUCCUGAGUAGCUGAGAUUACAGGCACCCACCACCACACCUGGCUAAUUCUUUUGUAUUUUUAGUAGAGACGGGGUUUCACCAUCUUGGCCAGGUUGGUCUUGGACUCCUGACCUCAUGAUCCACCCACCUUGGCCUUACAAAGUGCUGGGAUGACAGGCAUGAGCCACCGUGCCCGGCCGGUCCUGCUUUCUAGAAAAAACUGUAGUGCGCGCUCCAGAGACGUAACCCGUUCCCACACCUGAGUGGGCAACUCUAGCCUUUGAACACAGCCCUAGGAAAUGACUGCAAAUGAGGGGGAAGCUUUUUAAAUACAAGGAAAAAGGCAUUUGUACCAAGCUACAUCGCAGUGAAAUUAUCAUUGGAAAACAGUGGAAAGAGGCUGUGUGUCCCCCCACGGGUCAGGCGCAGUCCCAGGGAGGUCUAGACCCCAAGAGCAGAGAGGCCUACGGGAGGCACGGCUUGUGCCAGGAGGUGGGGUAUGCGGCCACCAGGCACUCUAGUUACACAGCGAUGGGCUGAAGGCUGUGCAUCCCGCAGGGAGUGAGCCCUCCGACCCUGGAGGAGUUCAAGCAGCUGCUUGUCAGGAUGCAGCGACAGGAGGGACACCGUUGCAGCCGAUGCCCGAGACAGCCAGAGGCUGCCGGCAUCCAGCAGCAGAGAGGCUGGGCCUGGAAUGGACCCCCAGAAGCUGGCCAGAGGCCUGGCAGUUGGGAAAGGCUCGGUCGUCCUGGGGAGGGAGCAGCACCAGCGGAGGCCCCGCCUGGGUCUUCAUCAGAGACACUCCAAGCUGGUGGGGGAUUCCUGGGACAGUGUCACCCCCGGCAGGCCCCAGGUGCCCACCGCCCACCCGGCCACAGUGGGAGCAGCUCGGGUCAGGGAGGCCGGGCUGAAUGCAAACCACUGCUGAGGAGACAAACGCGGCGCCACGAGCAGGUCAGGAGAGAACUCCCUCCCGCGGGCCGUCCGCGGACCCUGGCGUCAGCCAGCAUGUCCUGAGCCACAGACGAGGCUGUCCCAGGUGUGAAAGAGGGUCUGUGCCUCCGAGUGGAGGCCGGUCCCACGCUGUGGACUGAGCUGCAUCCCUCAGAUGCAUCUGUUUCAGCCCUAACCCCAGUGUGAGGGGACGUGGAGGUGGGGCCUCAGGGGUGAUGAGGGUUAGAUGAGGUCAGGAGGGAGGAGACGCAAACACAAUUGGCCGGACCUUGAUCUUAGACCCGCAGCCUCUAGAACCUGCAGAGAAUGCUGGAGCUGCCCAGGGUGUGAUUCUUGUUACGUCUCCCCGAGCUGGCUGAGACAUACAGCUCCACUCCACCGGCCUGUGCCCAGAGACCCCGGGGUACAGGAGGAGGACGCCGCAGAGAGAACAAAAUUAAAGAAGAUUUCCCAGA